rnacentral:rRNA from 1 species
CCUACGGGAGGCAGCAGUGGGGGAUAUUGCACAAUGAGGGAAACCCUGAUGCAGCGACGCCGCGUGCGUGAAGAAGUAUUUCGGUAUGUAAAGCUCUGUCAGCAGGGAAGAAAAUGACAGUACCUGACCAAGAAGCCCCGGCUAACUACGUGCCAGCAGCCGCGGUAAAACGUAGGGGGCAAGCGUUAUGCGGAAUUACUGGGUGAAAAGGGAGCGUGGACGGUUAUGUAAGUCUGGAAUGAAAGCCCGGGGCCCAACCCCCGGACUGCUUUGGAAACUGUGUAACUGGAGUACAGGAGGGGUAGGCGGAAUUCCAGGUGUAGCGGUGAAAUGCGUAGAUAUAAGGAGGAACACCGGAGGCGAAGGCGGCUUGCUGGAUCGAAACUGACGUUGAGGGUCGAAAGCGUGGGGAGCAAACAGGAUUAGAUACCCGGGUAGUC